rnacentral:rRNA from 1 species
GAUGAACGCUGGCGGUAUGCUUAACACAUGCAAGUCGAACGGUCACUUCGGUGAUAGUGGCGGACGGGUGAGUAACGCGUGAGAAUCUGUCUUCAGGUCGGGGACAACAGUUAGAAAUGACUGCUAAUACCGGAUGUGCCGAGAGGUAAAAGAUUUAUUGCCUGAAAGAGAGCUCGCGUCAGAUUAGCUAGUAGGUGGUGUAAGAGACUACCUAGGCGACGAUCUGUAGCUGGUCUGAGAGGACGAUCAGCCACACUGGAACUGAGACGCGGUCCAGACUCCUACGGGAGGCAGCAGUGGGGAAUUUUCCGCAAUGGGCGAAAGCCUGACGGAGCAAUACCGCGUGAGGGACGAAGGCUUUUUGGGUCGUAAACCUCUUUUAUUAGGGGAAGAUUUCAGGACGGUACCUAAUGAAUAAGCAUCGGCUAACUCUGUGCCAGCAGCCGCGGUAAU